rnacentral:rRNA from 1 species
GGGGAAUUUUGCGCAAUGGGGGAAACCCUGACGCAGCAACGCCGCGUGAGUGAUGAAGGCUUUCGGGUCGUAAAGCUCUGUCUAGAGGGAAGAAAUGAUAAUCGGUUAAUACCCGGUUUUCUUGACGGUACCUCUGAAGGAAGCACCGGCUAACUCCGUGCCAGCAGCCGCGGUAAUACGGAGGGUGCAAGCGUUGUUCGGAUUUAUUGGGCGUAAAGCGCGUGUAGGCGGUUUGUUAAGUCUGAUGUGAAAGCCCCGGGCUCAACCUGGGAAGUGCAUUGGAAACUGGCAGACUUGAAUACGGGAGAGGGUAGUGGAAUUCCUAGUGUAGGAGUGAAAUCCGUAGAUAUUAGGAGGAACACCGGUGGCGAAGGCGGCUACCUGGACCGAUAUUGACGCUGAGACGCGAAAGCGUGGGGAGCAAAC